rnacentral:lncRNA from 10 species
CUCUUUGUAUACUUUUUUAAACAUGGAUUAAUCUUAAUCAGUAAAAUUUCAUCAUAAGCAAAACCCAUUAAACAAACAAUAUCUUUGUUUAUCUACAGCAUAAAUAUACAUACACAGUAUUCUACAGAAUGUUACUUUGACUUCACAGAUUUUUAGAAAUAUUCGUAACCAAGUCCUGAAGUUCUCAUUAAACAACAACAAAAAAAUUUUCUAACUGAAACAUCUUCCCAAUGUGCAAAGAUGUUAAAAAAUAUUUUCUUCAAAAGUCCCCCAUAUUAAUAGAUUUUAAUACUGCUGGACUUCUCAGAGCUUUAUCUGACCACCCCUUAAUAAGCAACAAUCUACAGAACCAGCCAUUCACAAAACAAGCCCUGGGAAAUCCGGUAGCAGAGAAGAUACCCGGAUCAACUAUCCUAAGAUUGAACCUAUAAAGACCUAGAAAUUUUAUAAAUUUUCUAUUGUCUCUUAUCAGAGAUUUCUGACAAAUGGUAUUAUAAACAAACAGUAAUUAGGGAUCUCUAAAUUCUCAACUGUACAUUCUUUGAAACAUUUUAUACAUAUUAAAAUGUCUAUAAAUAGCUGUAUCUCUAAAAUUAAAGUCUAGAAAAUCUUUCAUAUUUCCAAAAACGAUUUUUGAAUGACUGAAAUACAGCAAACUCAUUGCCACAAGUGGCUGAAAUGUAUCUUAUCUACACGUAAAACAUCACAAAGUCUUUGUAUCAGGCCAAAAAUCAUUUAUUAAAAAUCUAUUUAAAUAUUUACCUAAAAGUUAACGCAAAUAAUAGAACCAUUUACCCAUGUGCCCAAAAAAUUGUACAUAAACCUCUCAACAUUUGAUCAAGAUAAAAAGUAUUUCUACACAAGAAACUGACGCUCAGAAAAGAAUCAUAACUUGCCAAAAGUCACAAAUAUCUAAUUCUAGGAAUCAGCUCUGUAGACUCAAAUUCUCAUCCUGAGUACAUUUCUUCCAUCUUGAGUGUUUUUAUUUUUCUGAAGUUCUAAGAGUCCCAGACUGAAAAACACAGAACUUUCAGUGGCCAGUAAGGUUCCCAAACAGGGCCAGUGUCCUUAAAUCUCAGUUUAAGAUAGGGAGAAAAGGGAGAAAAGGAAGGGCAUAAUAGUAUCCGGUCUCCUGGGAGUUGCAUGCCUCCAAACUAGUGGUUCACAAAUUCUGGGUUGCAGGAGCCUACAGAAUUAUUGUAACAAGACCUCAAAUCCAUUUUCAUAACCACCAUUAUCUGUACACCAAAUACAAUAAAUAUAUUCUAUUUUUCAACUAUAUGUGAUUAAUAAAAUCAAAAUUCACUUAAAAGCUAAAGUAAAGGGAUAGAGAAGGAAGAAACAAAAAAGUUAUUGGGAGCAUUAUCACUUUUGAAUUAUAUAAGCAUCCUCUAGACAUCUCUACGGACCUGUCUCUGAUUUAAAUAUGUUUUCUUCCAAAUUACCAAGGAUAAUGCCAAAAUGAACUCAGAGUAGUCUACACAGAUAGAAGGAAAAUAAACUGAUACCUUUAAUCCAGCAACUCAACAUCUAGGAAUUUAUCACCAAUGAGUUCAAAAUUUUUUUCCAGGCUGGGUGUGGUGGCUGUAAUCCCAACACUUUGGAAGGCCGAGGUGGGCGGAUCACCUGAGGUCAGGAGUUCGGGACCAGCCUGACCAACACGGAGAAACCCCGUCUCUACUAAAAAUACAAAAAAUUAGCUGGGUAUGGUGGCACAUGCCUGUAAUCCCAGCUACUUGGGAGGCUGAGGUAGGAGAAUCGCUUGGACCCGGGAGGCAGAGGUUGCGGUGAGCCGAGACUGCGCCAUUGCACUCCAGCCUGGGCAAUAAGAGCGAAACUCCGUUUCAAAAAAAAAAAAAUUUCUGUAAAGCAAAACUACCUCAUGACUCAUAAUAGUCAAAUAACAAGAAACACAAAUGAAAAUAAAAUAAAACCACAAAGCCUAAAUGUCUAAUAACACGGGACCAAUUAAACAAAAUGACAUAAAGUCAUUACAUGGAAUAUAAUGUAUCCAUAAUAAAUUUUGGCUGGGCACAGUGGCUCACACCUACAAUCGCAGCACUUUGGGGCACUGAGUGGAUCAUUUGAGGUCAGGAAUUCAAGACCAGCCUGGCCAACAUGGUGAAACAGUGUCUCUACCAAAAAUACAAAAAUUAACCAGACGUGGUGGUGCACGCCUG